AAAAAUGCGAUGCAGGGGAAAGCCGUGCUACGGUCCCUUUCAGAGAGCCGGCGGCCGGUGCGAGCCGGCAGGGAAGUAGUCGGAGUUCCGCCCCGAAGCAGCGCCUUUGAAGGCCGACUCUGGCUGGUAGAAGGUGACGGCAAAGGCCGUUAUAAAAAUCGAGCGCCAACAAGGGUGGCACCGCGGGAUAAUCCUCUCGCCCCUAAG
rnacentral:ncRNA from 1 species